UUGAUAAGGACAUCAAUAAGUCCGCGUGAUGGGGUAGAUAAGGCUGUGCCUAUAAAUUCAUCGAUCGAUCUCAUAAGCACAGAACAAACGUUUUUGCUUUGCGCAGGGCAAAUUGAAAUUUUGUGAAUUUUGGAAAUAUAUCUAAAAUAAUGCCACCACCACCGCCGCAUCCGGACCAGCCACCGCACCACCCAGGCGGUCAUCCACCGGGGCACGAUCCGCAUCAUCCACCGCACCAUCCACCGCAUCAUCCACCGCACCAUCCACCGCAUCAUCCACCGCCACACCACCAGCCACCACCACCUCGGUAUUAAAUAUUGGGGUUGUGUGUGUGAUGACCUAAUGUAUAGUUAUCGGUACGAAUCUUGAGCUCUGACCUUCACCUGCGCAGAAGUAAUUUAUUGAGUCCCUUUUGUGGUAUGAAGUGAGGCGCGGGGGCGGGCUAAAGCGGUGAUUAGCCCGCAGUGCAUCGCGUCAUAGCCGUCACUCGGGAUUGGUUCUUUGCUUAUAAAUCACUUCUGCGCAGAUGUAGGUCAGAGCUCAAGAUUCGUGCCGAUAACUAUACUGACACUGUUCCUUACGGCAGUAUUAAUUUAUACAGCUUAUAUUAUUUAAUAAAUAUGUAUGUUUUUUAAGCAA